UACGGAGGGUGCAAACGUUGCUCGGAAUCAUUGGGCGUAAAGCGCACGUAGGCGGACUGUUAAGUCGGACGUGAAAUCCCUCAGCUUAACUGAGGAAGUGCAUUCGAAACUGGCAGUCUUGAGUACGGGAGAGGGUCGCGGAAUUCCCGGUGUAGAGGUGAAAUUCGUAGAUAUCGGGAGGAACACCAGUGGCGAAGGCGGCGGCCUGGACCGAUACCGACGCUGAGGUGCGAAAGCGUGGGGAGCAAACAGG
rnacentral:rRNA from 1 species